rnacentral:rRNA from 1 species
CCUACGGGUGGCAGCAGUGGGGAAUAUUGCACAAUGGGGGAAACCCUGAUGCAGCGACGCCGCGUGAGGGAUGAAGUAUCUCGGUACGUAAAGCUCUAUUAUCAGGGAAGAUAAUGACGGUACCUGACUAAUAAGCCCCGGCUAACUACGUGCCAGCAGCCGCGGUAAUACGUAGGGGGCACGCGUUAUCCGGAUUUACUGGGUGUAAAGGGAGCGUAGACGGGAGAGCAAGUCUGGAGUGAAAUCCCUUGGCUUAACCCAGGAACUGCUUUGGAAACUGUGCGGCUGGAGUGCGGGAGGGGUAAGCGGAAUUCGUAGGGUAGCGGUGAAAUGCGUAGAUAUUAGGAGGAACACCGAUGGCGAAGGCGGCUUACUGGACCGUAACUGACGUUGAGGCUCGAAAGCGUGGGGAGCAAACAGGAUUAGAUACCCGAGUAGUC